UAUCUGAUAGACUUCAGAUAUUACUGAGUCCUCAUCUUGGGCCAGAGGAAUCCAGACAUACAUUGGGAUAUAUACACUCUCAUCCCACUACCAGAGACAGUCUUCCAUAGAUAGCUCAGAACUUCUACCACAAGCUCCAAGGGAUGAAUGGAAGCCCCUCCUUUUGUCUUCAACUUCCUACUUUUCUACUCGAAAGUAAUUAGUCUCAGACCUUACUCAAGAAUAAUCUGCUGCCAUAUGUUGAUUAUCUUGAUUCUUAGAACUCACUUCUGAGAUAGACCAAAUGCCACUGGUUGAUU
rnacentral:lncRNA from 1 species